UGUGAACGGCGCAUGUGCAGUAGGAUCAUUUCGCGCAGAAGGGUAUCGGUGCAUCCAAUGCCUUGUGGCAUCUCCAACAAAGGUUAUGAGGUGUGUCCCCUGAAACAAAACAAAGAAAGAAAGAUAGAGCUGGGAGCUUUGCCCUGAAGAUUAAAGCAAACUUCAUGUGCUUGGAUUGAGAAUGUGGAGACGCUGUGGAUGUCUGUACCAGCUCUGUGUGAUCCCCGGUGAGUCUGACUGAGGGAGGUAUUGAAACUCCAGUGUGUUCCCUGGAUGAAGACAAGUGUUGUCCGUGUGCCUGCUACGUGGGAGCAACUACUCUGUCCAACAGGAGAGAUGCUGGUGGUGCAACUGUUCUUCUUAGUGAAAAACCUCCCGAGGGCACAUCACCAGGUUUUGCCCUGUUCCCAGGAACCCCUUGCACCUCUCUGGGUGAACAAAUGCACAAGAGAAAAUAUUUUAGGGGCAUAUUAUACUGAAAAUGUGCUCACUUUAAAUCCAUGCAAGGGAGACCUAGGAACAGAUAAACACAUGACAGGAUGCAGCUGAUGCAGUGUCACGGGGUCGUUGUUCAAGCUGCAGUUUAAGCAUCCCGUUUGGAA